GAUGAACGCUGGCGGCGUGCCUAAUACAUGCAAGUCGAGCGAACAGACGAGGAGCUUGCUCCUCUGACGUUAGCGGCGGACGGGUGAGUAACACGUGGAUAACCUACCUAUAAGACUGGGAUAACUUCGGGAAACCGGAGCUAAUACCUGAUAAUAUAUUGAACCGCAUGGUUCAAUAGUGAAAGACGGUUUUGCUGUCACUUAUAGAUGUAUCCGCGCCGCAUUAUCUAGUUGGUAAGGUAACGGCUUACCAAGGCAACGAUGCGUAGCCGACCUGAGAGGGUGAUCGGCCACACUGGAACUGAGACCCGGUCCAGACUCCUACGGGAGGCAGCAGUAGGGAAUCUUCCGCAAUGGGCGAAAGCCUGCCGGAGCAACGCCGCGUGAGUGAUGAAGGUCUUCGGAUCGUAAAACUCUGUUAUUAGGGAAGAACAAAUGUGUAAGUAACUAUGCACGUCUUGACGGUACCUAAUCAGAAAGCCACGGCUAACUACGUG
rnacentral:rRNA from 1 species